CGUUCCAGCCGGAGGCAGGGCAGGAGGGCAGGCCUAGGUAGGUGGGUUGUGGUGGUUUAGGUUUAGGUACCCCCAGCGGAGAGGGAGCGGCGGCGGCGGGCGGCGGUUGGUUCGAGCCGGCGGCCUAGGUGGUUGGGGGUGGGGUGGGGGAGGAGGACAAGGUUGGGAAUGGGGUUGUCCUCCUCCUCCUCCGUACCGCCAGCGGGGUGGAAGCAGCGGCGGAGGGCGACGGCGGCGGCGGCCGUCGGGCUUGGGAUGGAGGUGGCUCCCGGUUCCUUUCUACCACCAGCGGAGAGGAAGGUGCCGCGGCGGCUGGCGGCUGCGGCUGCGGCUGCGGCUGCCGUCGGGCGUGGGCUGGAUGGGGCUCUACUAAUUCGUCCGCGACUGCCUCGACCCUCCGUGGAGGCCGGCGUAGCGGUAGCGGCGAAAGUAGGAGCCGGCGAAGUUCCUCCCGGAGGGGCGGCGGGUGCUGUUCGAGGAGUUCCAGGUGGAGGCGGCGGAGCAGAGGGUUCCGCAGCAGGCGCCGAUGCCUAGUCUUCGGUCUCGAACGAUGCAGAAGGGGCGGAGGUUGUGGUUUUCGGCGCCGGCCGGGGCGUUCAGCAGCAGGGCAGAGGAGGAGUGGCGCAGCGGCUGGGACGGGGAGGGGGAGGGACGCGGCGGGUGGUUGCUCCUGCUGGUUUUAAACCUAGAGUCAAACCUAUGUAGAAGACCUCCUAAUGCCUCGUCUGCACCGGCCGGGGAGAAAGGCCGUGAGGGACGCGGGUUCUUAAACAGCCUAGAGUCAAACCAAGGAGUUAGACCUCCCAGUGUCUAAUCGUCACUACUACUACUACUAAUGAGGUGAAGGUCACUACUACUACUACUACUUCUACUACUUCUUCUACUGAUGUCGUCACCACUACUGUUGCUACUACUUAUGUGAGGACGGGCACGUAUACGAAACUAGCAGGUACCUCGUUUCGCGCCUGCGGGUGCGUUCGCGUUCGCGUUCUCCCCCGGUCCGGCAGGAGCAUUCGAAGACGACAGGCGCUUAAGGAGUCAGUGGUUCUUUCCGGCACCCUCCGGUUCCUUCUUCGUCUUUGAACCGAGGAGUGACCGACGAAAAGUCUUACCUUGGGGUCCUCCACCAAAGAGCUGCGGGUUCUCUCCCGCACCCUCCGGCGCUUUCCUACGUGUUCCCGACAGUUGUGCACAGUUCUCUCCGGCACCCUCUGGUUCUUUCCUACGUGUUCCCGACAGUUGGCCACAGUUCUUUCCGGCACCGUCUGGGUCUUUCCUCAGUCUUCCUUACAGUUGCCCACAGUUCUCACCGGCACCCUCCGGCUCUUUCCUCGGUCUUCUACCACAGGGUCUUCGUCUGAGAAGACUUUGACUUAGUCUGCGUCUCAGUCUGAGAAGAGAUUGACCCAGUCUGUGACUCAGUCCGAGAGGUCUACACAGCUCCACCAACUUCCUUCCCAAACCCUUAGGUUGUUGUUAUCGCUGCGGCGGUCGUCGUCAAUCCGGACGCAGGUCCCCCGAGUUAUAUCCCAGAGACUCCGGUUGUUAUCUCUCCGGUGGUCGUCGUCGUUCGAGGGGACCUUGAGAACAAAUGAGACGACGCAGGUGCCCUUACUUCUUUGGCGAACCCUCCGGUUCUUUCUUCCCUAGUAGUUUUCGCGGACGACUCCGACCUCCACCACGCAGGUGCCCCUAGUUCUUUGGCGCACCCUCUGGCUCUUUCCUCUCUGGUGGUGUUCGUUACAGACGACUUCGACCUCUACGUCGUCGUGGACGAGGACUUUGACCUUUACGCUGCGAACGAAGACUUUGACCUCUACGUCGUCGCGGACGAGGACUUCGACCUCUACGUGGCGGACGAGAACUUUGGCCUCUACGUUGAGGACGAGGACUUCGACCUCUACGUCACGGAUGGGGACUUUGACCUCCACACCGGGGACGAAGACUUUGAUCUCUACGUCGUCAUAGACGAGGACUUCGACCUCUACGUGACGGACGAGGACUUUGACCUCUACGUAGCGGACGAGGACUACUUUUACGUCGUCGUUGCGGACGGUUUUGACCUCUACCACGCAGCCGCCCCUAGUUCUCCGGCGCACCCUCCGGCUCUUUCCUCUCUGGCGGUCGUGGUUGCAGAUGUCUUUGACCUCUACGUCGCGGACUACUUUUACCUCGUCGUUGCGGACGACUUCGACCUCUACGACGAAGUUGGCCUAAGUUCUUUGGCGCACCCUCCGGCUCUUUCCUCUUUGUUGGACGUAGUUAGAGACGACUUUGACCUCUACGUUGGGGACGACCCUGACCACUACGACUUUGACCUCUACAUUGGGGAUGACUUUGACCUCCUCGUUGCGGACGACUUCCACCUUUACGACGUAGCUGUCCCUAGUUCUCUGGCGAACCUUCCGGAUCUUUCCACUUCUUCGAACCCUCCGGUUCUUUCCUCUUCGGUCUUCUUCGUCGUUACAGACCACUUUGACCUCUACUACGACCUCUACGUUCCAGACGACUUUGACCUCGUCGUUGCGGGCCACUUUUUCGACCUCUAAGACGCAGCCGCCCCCAGUUCUCUCCCGCACCCUCCGGUUCUUUCCUCUCCGGUCUCCUUCGCUAAAGACGACUUUCACCUCUACGGCUUUGUCUUUGUCUUUCCUUCUUCCGUUUUCAUCGUUCCAGUCGACCUCUACCACCCUAGUUCUCUCCCGAGCCCUCCGGCUCUUUCUAGUUCGCGCCCUCCGGGUUUUUCCUCUUCGGUCGUAGUCUGCUGCGGUACAGUUGCCCUUAGUUCCCUGGCGAGCUCAGGGGUUCUAGUAUGAUACGUAAUAGACGACCUUGACCUUUUCGGCACAGUUACCCUUCGUUCUAACGCGACCUCUCGGGUUCCUGCCGCCUCUUCGGCAGCCGUCCGCUGUAGCACAGCUACCACUACUCCUCUUCCGCACGCUACGGGUCCUCGUCGCUGGUCGGGAGACUUCGACCCGCGCACUUUAGGAGACCGCCCUAAAAACCUAUGCACGCUCUUAGGUCACCAUUUGUUCUCUUCCUCCCGUCAGACCGUAGUAGUCCCCUCCCCCUCUUUUGUGGUGUCCGGUUCCUUCCACACCACCGACGAAACCCACCGCCACUCCUUUGACCCGAAUGACGUCUACGCGGCCAAAGACGUCUCUUCCGUUAUCGCCCACUACGGCGACAGCAACUCCCUUGACCUCCACACUGACUUCGAAGAAGACUAUUCGACCCAAGAACACGGUGAAGUCUCUUCAGUUGCUCACCAGGAGCCGUACACCUCCGCGCUGUCUUAGAAGUAGAUUAUUCGACCCCGCACGUCCACGUCAUCGUCUCUUACGUCUUCGUCUCUUACACCUCUUCCAACUUAGACUAUUCUUCGGAGCACACCUCCCCCUCCCCCUCCCACCUCUUCUGUUCGACCCUAGACGUCUUUCUACACACCAAUCAACUCGUCUCGACUCGACUCGCGUUCCUUCCACACUAAAAGACCUGACCUGACCUGACCUCGCGUUCCUUCUUCUUCUUCUUCUUCUUCCUUCUUAAUAUUAAUUUAAUAAUUAUUAUACAUACCAUUGACAUUAUCAAUCACAAUUCAUUCAUCAACCAGGGAGACGAGACGAGACUCUUGAUUCAUUAAAUUAAUACCAACCAACCUAAUAAUAAAUGACAUACGUAGUACGUAAUACCCUCCCCUCCCCUCCCCUAAGUAAGGAACUCAGAGUUGAACUUGACUUGACUUCACCCACACAAAAACAACGAUUUACUGAUACUACAGACAGACAGACAGACAGGAACUCUCUCUCCCUCUAUCUCUAAACUUUACUUAACGUAAUAAACAUAACGUUCAAACUUGUCGUUCGAUC
rnacentral:rRNA from 1 species